rnacentral:rRNA from 1 species
GACGAACGCUGGCGGCGUGCUUAACACAUGCAAGUCGAACGGUGACCCAUCUUCGGAUGUUGAUCAGUGGCGAACGGGUGAGUAACACGUGGGCAACCUGCCCCUAGCUCUGGGAUAACUCCUCGAAAGAGGUGCUAAUACCGGAUAUCACCUCCCUGGACAUCCAGGGUGGUUGAAAGUUUGUCGGCGAGGGAUGGGCCCGCGGCCUAUCAGCUUGUUGGUGGGGUAAUGGCCUACCAAGGCGACGACGGGUAGCCGGCCUGAGAGGGCGCCCGGCCACACUGGGACUGCGACACGGCCCAGACUCCUACGGGAGGCAGCAGUGGGGAAUAUUGCGCCAUGGGCGAAAGCCUGACGCAGCAACGCCGCGUGAGGGAUGACGGCCUUCGGGUUGUAAACCUCUUUCAGCAGGGACGAAGCGAAAGUGACUGUACCUGCAGAAGAAGCGCCGGCUAACUACGUGCCAGCCGCCGCGGUAAAAC